CACCAGACUCCUACGGGAGGCAGCAGUGGGGAAUAUUGCACAAUGGGGGAAACCCUGAUGCAGCGACGCCGCGUGAGUGAAGAAGUCAUUCGUGAUGUAAAGCUCUAUCAGCAGGGAAGAAAAUGACGGUACCUGACCAAGAAGCCCCGGCUAACUACGUGCCAGCAGCCGCGGUAAUACGUAGGGGGCAAGCGUUAUCCGGAUUUACUGGGUGUAAAGGGAGCGUAGACGGUGAUGCAAGUCAGAAGUGAAAGCCCGGGGCUCAACUCCGGGACUGCUUUUGAAACUGUGUGACUGGAGUGCAGGAGAGGUAAGCGGAAUUCCUGGUGUAGCGGUGAAAUGCGUAGAUAUCAGGAGGAACACCAGUGGCGAAGGCGGCUUACUGGACUGUAACUGACGUUGAGGCUCGAAAGCGUGGGGAGCAAACAGGAUUAGAUACCCCUGUAA
rnacentral:rRNA from 1 species